CUUNNGGGAGAUGGCGAGUGGNGCACGGGUGGGUNACGCNUGCUGAAUCUACCUUUAACUGGGGGAAAGUCGCUGGAAACGGCGAAUAAUCCCGCANAAGACUACCNUAUCNCAUGGUACNGGANUAAAAGACCUUCUGGUUGGUAAAAGAUGAUUGUGCGUCCCAUUAGCUAGAUGGUAAGGUAACGGCUUACCAUGGCGACUAUCGGUAGGGGGCGUGAGAGCGUGGACCCCCACACGGGUACAGAGACACGGACCACUCUCCUACGGGAGGCAGCAGUAAAGAAUAUUGGUCAGUGGAAGAAACUCUGAACCACCCGUGCCGCGUGUGUGAUGAAUGCCCUUUGUGUUGUAAACUUUUUUUAUCUGGGAAGAAUGACUGGGAUUUAUCCNUGGAGAGACGGUACCANAANAAUAAACACCNNCNAANUCCNUGCC
rnacentral:rRNA from 1 species